AAUGAAGGGUUGGACAAAGGAAAGACUGUCUGUUACAGUGAAAAUUGAAGUUUACUUUUAAGUGAAAAGGCUUAAAUAUGUCACGGGGACGAUAAGACCCUAUAAAGCUUUACAGAAAUUUAAAUCUAGUUAAUUUAUAUCAAUAAAGGUUAGGUUUAAUUAUUUUGUUUUGUUGGGGUGAUGUGAGU
rnacentral:rRNA from 1 species